rnacentral:misc_RNA from 1 species
AAGUCGUUAACAAAGGUCUCCGUAGGUGAACCUGCGGAGGGAUCAUUACAGAAGCGUCCAUUGCCCUAACCGGGGUAGAUCUCCCAGGCCCUAUGUUAUCAUUAACCAAGUUCGCUUUGGCGGGCCAGUCAGGCUCACGCUCGGCUACCGGCAUCCGGCUGGUAAGGCGCCCCUGACCACGAGGACCUCAAACCCCUGAAUAUUCGUGUGCGGUCUGCAGUACCAUAAUCAAUAGUUAAAAC